AUGAAAUACACGGGUGUUAUAGGUGUUAUAGGUGUUACAGGUGUUACAGGUGUUACAGGUGCGCAGCCUAGAAAUAAACGCGUUAAAAGGAUCAAAGACUCUAUAGAGAUUUAUGAGCAAAUAUUCAGAUCUCACCCAAAGGCGUCCCAAUGGGGGGGGGAAGAGAGGCUCAGCCCGUCGACUGAUCCCAGGAGUCAGGAGGUCCUAAGGAUGUUGUAUGUCCUCGGGAUGGUAUCUCCCCUGACGAUGGUAUCUUCCCUAACAUCCCCUCUCUCUUGGGCCAAUUUAUAUUAUUUUCUAUCUUUUAGGUGGAGCUUGAGUGGCUCUAGUCAAGCAUAUCUUAGUUAUGAUUGGUGUAAAGUUUUCCCGUCUCCGUUUAAAGUAAUAGGCUCCGAGAAAUUCAGAGCGCAUGCUCAGUGAGGGGUGGUCGCACCUUGGAGGCGGGUAGCUUUUGGGAUGGAGGUGUGUUUUGGUAUUAUAAUGAUAUUAUAAUGAGCAAAAAGUACACUAGGGUACAGCAUUUGUCAAAACAUGACAGGUCUUUGGCUUAGGGUGGCAAAAAGUGCAGCUUUGUGCGCAAGAACAAUCGAGGCCCCACCUGAUUACAGAGCCUAGCCGUGGUGUCUCCACUCCACUCCACGCUCCGUGGUGUUCCUUAGAGCUAGCACACCAAGUUUCCCCAGCGCGAUAGCAUCUAAGGUUGGGAGCCUAGGGAAUGCUCAGAUAAUGCAGUUAUACCCUACCCUGAAAGCCUCUUCAAUGCUGUACCUUUUCCUUAAAAGUGUGAAUGUUAGUUUUAUUUUCCUAGUUACUUCAGGCAUUUACACCACAGCCCCUCAUGUGCCUUUCUCUGGAUGACACUGUCUGGAGGUUAUUGUGUCUCCAGCCUUUCUUAUCCUUGCACCAAUGUCACUAUACUUGCUAUUUCCCCAGCAUGAUUUUUUUCUUUCUUUUUUUUUUUUUAAACCACAAGGGCUUUUCGCUGAUAGUAGUGUUGAUUAUGGAAUUAUCCUGAAGCAUCAUAAGAAUAUAUACUUUUUGCUUCUAUAUCUGCGACUGACUAAAACAUCUGCAGGACCUGACAAAUAUAUAUGUUUUUAAAUACAGAUUACUCAUAUCUCUACAUAUCUCUAACUGAAGUCAGACGAUUUCACAUAUGCUUAAUAGUUCUAUAAAACAGGGCAAGAAAAAAAAACUUUUCACCUUUAACUAUAUGCUUGUUUGAAGUGCAUUUCUUUUCAGAAAAACAAAAGCACUAUAAAGAUGUUGUUGAUGCAAGUGAUUUUGUCAGGAACUGUUUGUAUGCUUUCAGAGAACAAUGGUGAAGAUAUAGAAUGAAAAAAGUAUCAGAAGUGAGAAUAGAAUGAUGAAUAUUUAGGUGACUGUGUAACAAUGUAUGACUGAAAUCAUUCUGAGAGUAGUCAUCUAAGUACAUGCUGAACUGUACAAGAACAGCUAAGAAACUACUAAGAGGUUUUAACUAUAACAUAAAUAAGAAUGUGGCACAAAGUGUUUGGAUAUGCCUCUAAUGGAGAGGAGAUAAGCUCAGAUAAGAAAGGAAUUGGAAGAAUUUUGUGUAAGGACAAGAUGUGUUAUUCUCAGACCCCAAAGUUAUACAUCUGAUUAGAGCUACAUUGUUAGAAUAACAUGAUUUUUAUUUAUUUUUUUGGUAAGUCUACAUUGUUGUUAUUAUAAAUUAAAGUAAUUGCUCCAGGUAGAUCUAGGAAUUUGACCUUGACACAUAACACAAUUCUGAUUCAUUGAUCAAAUUAUUUAUCAUAAAGCAAAUUCAUUUACAGCUAAAUAUCACAUCCACUUCUGUACUCAUAAAAACUUACAUUUUAGGCAAUAAACCUGGUGUGAUUCUUACA
rnacentral:lncRNA from 1 species